GACUUUAUGGCCCAAUGGAUAAGGCGCUAGUCUAAGAAACUAGAGACUCUGGGUUCAAUUCCCAGCGGAGUCG